rfam:Phlebotomus papatasi Contig2361.5, whole genome shotgun sequence.
UCACUCUGGCUCCUCUUCAAAUGUCAAAUAAAUCUUUCGCCUUUUACUAAAGAUUUCUGUGGAGAGAAGCAUUUUAAUGAGUCUAAUAUAAAUUUUUUGUUAGUGCCCGACGAAAGUUGGGCC